rnacentral:lncRNA from 1 species
CCGGGGGUGACCGGGGGUGACCGGGGAUGGCCGGGAAGAUGAAAGAGCACUGAAACUGUCCCAUUUCCUGGCACCUCAACCCUUCAUAAAUACGGGUCCAUAUACAGAGGCUCCAGUUUACACAAGACAAAAAUGGCGUGGAGAAUCCACAGAUUUAAGGGUUCAAUCCUACAAGACUGCCUCCUCUUGAGUUCCUCUGCCCGGCCGCCCCACUGUCUGGGAAGUGAGAAGCGCCUCUGCCUAGCCGCCCACCAUCUGGGAAGUGAGGAGCACCUCUGCCCGGCCGCCCCACACCACCGCCGCCAUCUGGGAAGUGAGGAGUGCCUCUGCCUGGCCCCCGCAACGUCUGGGAAGUGAGGAGCGCCUUUGCGCGGCUGCUGUGCGACCCUCCAAGUGUGAAGUGACAGCCUUGUGUGUGAUCUUUCUGCCCUCCCCAAGUUUGCAUUUUCG